rnacentral:rRNA from 1 species
UUAAAAAGCUCGUAGUUGGAUUUCGGGUGUGGGGCGCCGGUCCGCUUCGGUGUGCACUGGCGGCCCAGGCCUUCUUGUCGGGGAUGCGCUCUGGUAUUGAUUUAUCGGACGCAGAGUCGGCGCAGUUACUUUGAAAAAAUUAGAGUGUUCAAAGCAGGCUUUCGCUUGAAUACAUUAGCAUGGAAUAACAUGAUAGGACUCCGAUCCCAUUGUGUUGGUCUUCGGGACUGGAGUAAUGAUUAAGAGGGACAGUUGGGGGCAUUCGUAUUUCAUUGUCAGAGGUGAAAUUCUUGGAUUUAUGAAAGACGAACUUCUGCGAAAGCAUUUGCCAAGGAUGUUUUCAUUAAAUCAAGAACGAAAGUUGGGGGCUCGAAGAUGAUUAGAUACCCAUCGUA